UAGGGAAUCUUCGGCAAUGGACGAAAGUCUGACCGAGCAACGCCGCGUGAGUGAAGAAGGUUUUCGGAUCGUAAAACUCUGUUGUUAGAGAAGAACAAGGACGUUAGUAACUGAACGUCCCCUGACGGUAUCUAACCAGAAAGCCACGGCUAACUACGUGCCAGCAGCCGCGGUAAUACGUAGGUGGCAAGCGUUGUCCGGAUUUAUUGGGCGUAAAGCGAGCGCAGGCGGUUUCUUAAGUCUGAUGUGAAAGCCCCCGGCUCAACCGGGGAUGGUCAUUGGAAACUGGGAGACUUGAGUGCAGAAGAGGAGAGUGGAAUUCCAUGUGUAGCGGUGAAAUGCGUAGAUAUAUGGAGGAACACCAGUGGCGAAGGCGGCUCUCUGGUCUGUAACUGACGCUGAGGCUCGAAAGCGUGGGGAGCAAACAGG
rnacentral:rRNA from 2 species